GUUACACUGGAGAGCUAUGCCAGUCAGAGAUUGAUCAUUGCAUCCAGCAGCCAUGCCAAAAUGGAGGUACCUGCUCAUCCAACAUCAGUGGAUUCAGUUGUCAGUGCCCAGAAGGGUUUUUAGGAACCUCUUGUGAAGACAAAAUAGACCCGUGUGCAUCAUCUCCCUGCCAGAACAAUGGAACCUGUUAUGCAGAUAGACUUGCCUUCUCCUGCAGUUGUAGUCCUGGAUUUACAGGACCUACAUGUGCUCAGCUGAUUGACUUCUGCGCUCUGAAUCCUUGUGCACAUGGCAUUUGUCGCAGUGUUGGAACCAGCUACAAAUGCCUCUGUAUCCCUGGUUACCACGGCCUUUACUGUGAAGAGGAAUAUAACGAAUGCCUUUCUGCGCCCUGCCAGAAUGGAGCCACCUGCAGAGACCUCAUCAAUAGCUAUGAAUGCCUGUGCCUUGCUGAAUAUGAAGGUAG